AUAAAUCCUUAAAGUAUAAUGGUUUAGUGGUUUGAGUUGUCCUACUAAUUGUUCAAGGUAACGAGUUCGAUCAACAGACCUUAAAAAUUAGUUAAAUGUAAGUAAAUCAAACUAUUACAUCAUUAUAGUUUUUAGGUAAAU